GAUGAAGAACGUAGCGAAAUGCGAAAAGUAAUGUGAAUUGCAGAAUUCAGUGAAUCAUCGAAUCUUUGAACGCACAUUGCGCCCGCUGGUACUCCGGCGGGCACGCCUGUCCGAGCGUCAUUUCAACCCUCAAGCCCUCCUUCGGGAUGGGCCUGGUGUUGGGGCUCGGCCGCCAUCUCCGGCGGCCGUCCCCUAAAUACAGUGGCGGUCACGUCGCGACUCCUUUGCGUAGUAGAAACACCUCGCUCCGGAUAGCAACGCGGUCCACGCCGUAAAACCCCCAAUUUUCAAUGGUUGACCUCGGAUCAGGUGGGAAUACCCGCUGAACUUAAGCAUAUCAAUAGCGGAGGA
rnacentral:misc_RNA from 1 species